ACCCAGCUGACGAGUCCCAAAUAGGACGAAAUGCGCGUCCUGUAU
rnacentral:hammerhead_ribozyme from 1 species